CCGGGGCCGGACGAUAACAACGACGUAUUUCUUCUUCCAUCACCCCUUCCGCUUCCGGUGUUCGAGGGCCCCGUGCCGGCGCGGUCUGCUACUCCAGCCCGGGUGUGGGGGCGCCGGUGGCCAUGGCAAUGUUUGAGCAGAUGAGAGCGAACGUGGGCAAGUUGCUCAAGGGUAUCGACAGGUAUAAUCCUGAGAACUUGGCCACCCUGGAGCGCUAUGUGGAGACGCAGGCCAAGGAGAAUGCCUAUGACCUGGAAGCUAACCUCGCUGUCCUGAAGCUGUACCAGUUCAACCCAGCCUUCUUCCAGACCACCGUCACUGCGCAGAUCCUGCUGAAGGCCCUCACCAACCUCCCCCACACCGACUUCACGCUGUGCAAGUGUAUGAUCGACCAGGCACACCAAGAAGAGCGGCCGAUCCGACAAAUUCUAUACCUCGGAGACCUGCUGGAGACCUGCCACUUCCAGGCCUUCUGGCAAGCUUUGGAUGAAAACAUGGACCUCUUGGAAGGCAUUACAGGCUUUGAAGACUCUGUCCGAAAAUUUAUCUGCCAUGUGGUGGGCAUCACUUACCAGCACAUUGACCGCUGGCUGCUGGCCGAGAUGCUUGGGGAUCUGACGGACAGCCAGCUGAAGGUGUGGAUGAGUAAGUACGGCUGGAGCACUGACGAGUCGGGCCAGAUCUUCAUCUGUAGCCAGGAGGAGAGCAUUAAACCCAAGAAUAUUGUGGAGAAGAUUGACUUUGACAGAUGGGUUCCAUUAUUGUAAAUUGCUGAUUAACGGUAACAUCCACCUCACGGAGUUGGGCAGCACUGAAGGAGUUGAUGGAACGCCAAUUGAGAUGUUUCAGCCAACAGAUUCAGCGCUGGAGGUGCUCACUCGUCUGUGCCAAGAAACGUGGAAGACAGCCUCCUGGCCAACCCACUGGAAGAGAUCCAUAUUUAUGCCCAUUCCCAAGAAAGGUGAUCCAUCUAAACAGAAAUUAUUGAAUAAUAUCAUUAAUAUCACACGCAAGCAAAAUUUUGCUGAAGAUCAUUCAAAAUCAGCUGCAGCAGUAUAUAACAGGGAACUGCCAGAAGUUCAGGCCGGAUUCAGAAGAGGACGUGGAACCAGGGAUAUCAUUGCUGAUGUCAGAUGGAUCCUGGCUGAAAGCAGAGAAUACCAGAAGGAUGUUUACCUGUGUUUUAUUGACCAUGCAAAGGCAUUCGAUUGUGUGGAUCAUAACAAACUAUGGAUAACAGUGAGAAGAAUGGGCAUUCAGAACACUUAAUUGCCCUCGUAAGGAAUCUGUACAGGGCUCAACAGGGAGUCGUUUGAACAGAAGAAACGGAUACUAUUUGCUGUGUAUGCUGAGCAUCCAAGAAGCUGGACUGUAUGAACAAGAACGGGGCAUCAGGAUUGGAGGAAGACUCGUUAACAACCUGCGUAUGCAGAUGACACAACCUUGCUUGCUGAAAGUGAAGGGGUCUUGAAGCACUUACUGAUGAAGAGUAAAGACCACAGAUUUCUGUGUGGGUUACACCUUAAUAUAAAGAAAAAAGUCCUCACAACUGGACCAAUAAACAACAUCCUGAUAAACGAAGAAAAGAUUGAAGUUGUCAAGGAUUUCAUUUUACUUGGGUCCACAGUCAGUACCCAUGGAAGCAGCAGUCAAGAAAUCAAAGGGCACACUGCACUGGGCUGAUCUGCUGCAAAAAAAAAAAAAAAGGACCUUUUUAUUUAAAGUGUUGAAGAGCAAAGAUGUCACCUUGAAGACUAAGGUGUGCCUGACCCAAGCCAUGGUGUUUUCAGUCGCCUUAUAUGCAUGUAAAAGCUGGGCAGUGAAUAAGGAAGACCGAAGAAGAAUUGAUGCCUUUGAAUUAUGGUGUUGGCACAAAAUAUUGGAUAUACCGUGGACUGCCAAAAGAGUGAACAAAUCUAUCUUGGAAGAAAUACAGCCAGAAUGCUACUUAGAAGCAAGGAUGAGGAGACCACGUCUCACAUAUUUUGGACACAUUGUCAGGAGGGAUCAGUUCCUGGAGAAAAACAUCAUGCUUGAUAAAGUAGAGAGUCAGUGAAAAAGAAGACGACCCUCGAGGUAGAUCAACACAGUGGUUGCGACAGUGGGCUUAAGCAUGGCAGCAACUGUGAGGGUGGCGCGGGAUUGGGCAGUGUUUUGUUCUGUUGUGCACAGGGUCUCUGUGAGUCAGAACCAACUUGACAGCACCUAACAACAACACGGAGUUGUGUGAGGUGAGAUGACCCGCGUAUAACACUUUGUGAAGAGCAAGUUACACAGCUUAGUAAGUGGUAACCACGGUUACUAUCACCGUCAUACACGUUUAGCUAACACAGACUCGACCGAUUGCUCAAGUAAGAAACAGGAUGAAAUAGCUCCUCAGUCAGCUUAUGCUGCCUCAUCAGUCUGUUCGCUGAGGGGAUGCCUUACAGGAAGAACCAAGGCACAGGGGUGUGUCUAGCAUCAUGGCCUCGUCCCAGUAACUUCACAGGUGUUUUAAUAAAGCCCUGUUGACUUAA